CUUACAAGAGCUCUCAUGAAAAGCCCAAGAAAACCCCCUGCCGACUCCACCUAAGGCUCUGGCUACUGCUCUGACUCUCUCUGCAGCUCCUUUACCUCUCAGAUGCUCACUAUCGACUCCAACCAGCUACUCACUGUUCCAUGGGCCAUUAGGCCACUUUUAUAAAGAAAAAACCCAACCUCCAUCGAAAUCCUACCUUCAAAAGGACUCCAAUUCCCUUCCUGGCCAUUG
rnacentral:lncRNA from 1 species